rnacentral:rRNA from 1 species
AACGAACGCUGGCGGCAUGCCUAACACAUGCAAGUCGAACGAGAUCUUCGGGUCUAGUGGCGCACGGGUGCGUAACGCGUGGGAAUCUGCCCUUUGGUUCGGAAUAACAGUUGGAAACGACUGCUAAUACCGGAUGAUGACGAAAGCCCAAAGAUUUAUCGCCAGAGGAUGAGCCCGCGUAGGAUUAGCUAGUAGGUGUGGUAAAGGCGCACCAAGGCGACGAUCCUUAGCUGGUCUGAGAGGAUGAUCAGCCACACUGGGACCGAGACACGGCCCAGACUCCUACGGGAGGCAGCAGUGGGGAAUAUUGGACAAUGGGCGAAAGCCUGAUCCAGCAAUGCCGCGUGAGUGAUGAAGGCCUUAGGGUUGUAAAGCUCUUUUACCCGGGAUGAUAAUGACAGUACCGGGAGAAUAAGCUCCGGCUAACUCCGUGCCAGCCGCCGCAGUAA